rnacentral:rRNA from 1 species
CCUGGGAACGGCAUCCGGAACUGUCAGGCUAGAGUGCAGGAGAGGAAGGUGGAAUUCCCGGUGUAGCGGUGAAAUGCGUAGAGAUCGGGAGGAAUACCAGUGGCGAAGGCGGCCUUCUGGACUGACACUGACACUGAGGUGCGAAAGCGUGGGUAGCAAACAGGAUUAGAUACCCUGGUAGUCCACGCCGUAAACGAUGUCGACCAGCCGUUGGGUGCCUUGUGCACUUUGUGGCGAAGUUAACGCGAUAAGUCGACCGCCUGGGGAGUACGGCCGCAAGGUUAAAACUCAAAUGAAUUGACGGGGGCCCGCACAAGCGGUGGAGCAUGUGGUUUAAUUCGAUGCAACGCGAAGAACCUUACCUACCCUUGACAUCCUGCGAAUUCGCUAGAGAUAGCUUAGUGCCUUCGGGAACGCAGAGACAGGUGCUGCAUGGCUGUCGUCAGCUCGUGUUGUGAAAUGUUGGGUUAAGUCCCGUAACGAGCGCAACCCUUGUCCUUAUUUGCCAGCGGGUAAUGCCGGGAACUCUAAGGAGACUGCCGGUGACAAACCGGAGGAAGGUGGGGACGACGUCAAGUCAUCAUGGCCCUUACGGGUAGGGCUACACACGUGCUACAAUGGUCGGUACAAAGGGUUGCCAACUCGCGAGAGUGCGCCAAUCCCGAAAAGCCGAUCUCAGUCCGGAUCGGAGUCUGCAACUCGACUCCGUGAAGUCGGAAUCGCUAGUAAUCGUGGAUCAGAAUGCCACGGUGAAUACGUUCCCGGGCCUUGUACACACCUUAA